rnacentral:rRNA from 1 species
GACGAACGCUGGCGGCGUGCUUAACACAUGCAAGUCGAACGCUGAAGCUUGGUGCUUGCACUGGGUGGAUGAGUGGCGAACGGGUGAGUAAUACGUGUGUAACCUGCCCUUGACUCUGGGAUAAGCCUGGGAAACUGGGUCUAAUACUGGAUACGACAUGUCACCGCAUGGUGGCGUGUGGAAAGGGUUUUACUGGUUUUGGAUGGGCUCACGGCCUAUCAGCUUGUUGGUGGGGUAGUGGCUCACCAAGGCGACGACGGGUAGCCGGCCUGAGAGGGUGACCGGCCACACUGGGACUGAGACACGGCCCAGACUCCUACGGGAGGCAGCAGUGGGGAAUAUUGCACAAUGGGCGAAAGCCUGAUGCAGCGACGCCGCGUGAGGGAUGACGGCCUUCGGGUUGUAAACCUCUUUCAGCACGGAAGAAGCGAAAGUGACGGUACGUGCAGAAGAAGCGCCGGCUAACUACGUG